ensembl:misc_RNA Y_RNA Y RNA
GGCUGGUGCGAGUGCAGUGGUGUUUAUAACUAAUAGAUCACAACCAGUGGCAGAUUUCUUUGUUCCUUCUCUACUCCCGUUGCUUCACUUGACUAGCCGCUC